rnacentral:lncRNA from 1 species
CCACCGAUCUCUUCUUCAACAAGAAGCUACAAAACCAAUGGAAACAAAUCUCAAAGUUGUAAAUGGACCGAAAUUUGUGGCUCAUGUGAAGAAUACUAAUAUGUGAAUUGGUACAAACAAGUCAUGGUGGCCACGUUGUGCCGAAUUGAUUGGCAAGUGGAUUUAAUGGAGCAAGAUAUUGGGAUUGAGUAUAGGCUUAGGC